rnacentral:sRNA from 1 species
ACACGGAAAGGAGGUGGUCCGAAGCAUGAAGUCUUUUCGGAUGAGUGAGGUGGCUGCCCGCUAGGCAGCACCAGCCCUAGUCGCCGACGAGCUGCCGGCGAAUCCACUGCAGCCACCCGACCCGCAGGCCCCCGGACGUCAUCCCCCGGGGCCCCUCCGAGUGGAGACACCGCGAGGGGCAGCAGGCCUGCGGGUCGCUGCAU